rnacentral:rRNA from 1 species
GUGGGGAAUAUUGGACAAUGGGCGAAAGCCUGAUCCAGCCAUGCCGCGUGUGUGAAGACGGUCUUCGGAUUGUAAAGCACUUUAAGUUGGGAGGAAGGGUUGUAGAUUAAUACUCUGCAAUUUUGACGUUACCGACAGAAUAAGCACCGGCUAACUUCGUGCCAGCAGCCGCGGUAAUACGAAGGGUGCAAGCGUUAAUCGGAAUUACUGGGCGUAAAGCGCGAGUAGGUGGUUCGUUAAGUUGGAUGUGAAAGCCCCGGGCUCAACCUGGGAACUGCAUCCAAAACUGGCGAGCUAGAGUACGGUAGAGGGUGGUGGAAUUUCCUGUGUAGCGGUGAAAUGCGUAGAUAUAGGAAGGAACACCAGUGGCGAAGGCGACCACCUGGACUGAUACUGACACUGAGGUGCGAAAGCGUGGGGAGCAAACAGGAUUAGAAACCCUAGUAGUCC